GACGUAGGGGGCAAGCGUUGUUCGGAAUUAUUGGGCGUAAAGCGCUCGUAGGCGGGACAGGAAGUUCGUGUUGAAAGACCUCGGCUCAACUGAGGGACCGGCUCGAAUACUCUUGUUCUUGAGGCAAUCAGAGGGUGAUGGAAUUCCCGGUGUAGCGGUGAAAUGCGUAGAUAUCGGGAGGAACCCCAGUGGCGAAGGCGAUCACCUGGGGUUGUUCUGACGCUGAGGAGCGAAAGCUAGGGGAGCAAACGGG
rnacentral:rRNA from 1 species